GCCCGGGCCUGCGGCGGCCCCUGGGAGACAGCGAGGCUGUCGCUCCGCUCCCUCGGGCCCUCGGGGCAGAGCCCAAGCGCGAGUUUCAGCCUCCGCCCUCUUGCUCGGCGCGGCGCCGUGGUUGUUCUCCGGUGCCCUAACCCUCUCACGCCAGCGCCUGAGUUCCAGUCCGGAGGAGACACGAACUGGCUUGGGUGCUAGGGUCCGGUAGAGGCCCCGAGACGUAUUGUUCCCAAAAGAAUAGUCUGUGUAUGUGUACCUUUCCGUAGUCCUCCGUUCCGCGUCGGAGAGGAGGAGCUGGGGAAAUUGAGGAGAAAGGCUUAACAGGCUAGGACUUCCUUUGCUGAACUUACCCCCCCCCCCCACCCCCCAAGGCUGGUUUCUAGUGCUAGGCCACUGGAGGGAUCCAGGACCUCAGAGAGCUGACUCGGUUUUGUUUUGGUCUUGGCGUGUGUGGGAGCAGUUGUGAUCAGAGAGAAUGCUUAAUUUGCCAGUCUCCAUUCGCAUCAGAAAAGCGCGAGAAAUAUUUUGGUGUCUGGUCUCCUUCAUUAGCCAGUGUUGCUUAGGAUGACAGUUACAGAAGAUACCUUCUCUAGGAUUGUGGCUAGAAUUUGUGAGGUUGGUUUUUAUUGGCCAACUGAAUUGGAUUAACCAGGCUGUUUUCUCUCUCUCCUCUGGAAAAUAGUAGUCACCACCUCUCCUGGCUCCGCCCCAAAACUAAGUUUAAAAGUUUACUCAGGGUGCUGAGGUUAAACGGCUUUAUCUUGGUUCACAUUUGGUGGAGAAGCUAAACUUUUGCCAAGGCAGCAGUAUCUUUUAUUUUGUGUUUGUUUUUCUUUUGAGACAAAGUCUCACCUUGUAGCCAAUACUGGCCUUGAAUUUACUGUGUAACCCAACCUGGCCUUGAGUUUGGAUACUUUUCCUGACUGAAGCCUUCAGAGUGCUGGAAUUAUAUGCAUAUGCCACCAUACCCAACUUUCAAGUCAGAAACCUAAAAUUUUAGUUUCGCCCCCACCCCAUCCCCCAAACAAAAGUGGGUAUAGAUGCAGGUGUAUAAAUACUUGGCUACCAGCUUGUUUGCAUUUGUAUAUACAUUAUAAUUCUGUACUAGGAUUUUAUAUAACUUGAGUACUGGAUAAUAUUCUCACUAGUUCCUGUCACUUAUGAACUGUUUAGUAGGUAUUUUUAGUAGUCUCUCCACUGUAAGCAACAGAUACUU
rnacentral:lncRNA from 1 species